rnacentral:rRNA from 1 species
UUUUAAUCCCUUAGGUAGUUACAAACCAAUAUGUAUUGGCGGUCUUUACUUUUUAGAGAAACUCGCUCUAUAAUCGAAAAUACUCGUUAAUUUUAACUUUAUUUAAAUAGUUUAUAUACCGCCGCCCAGAAUAAGAUCAAAAUUUAAAUUCUUAAUAUAAAAUAAUAUCACUCCAGGUCAAGGUGUAACCAAUAAUAAAGAAAGAGUAAGUUACACUAAAAACAAUUUAAGGAAUAAAAAUAAACAAUUAAUACUAAAAAGAAUUUAUAUGUACAUAAAAAUCAAAAACUUUUAUAGAAUAAAAAACUAAAGAUGC